rnacentral:rRNA from 1 species
CGCGUGGGUAACCUGCCUUUAGGUUUGGGAUAACUCUGGGAAACCGGGGCUAAUGCCGAAUAAGACCACGAAGUCUUCGGGCUUCGAGGGAAAGAUGGCCUCUCCUUGAAAGCUAUCGCCAAUUGAUGAGCCCGCGUCUGAUUAGCUUGUUGGUGGGGUAACGGCCCACCAAGGCGACGAUCAGUAGCUGGUCUGAGAGGAUGAUCAGCCACACUGGAACUGAGACACGGUCCAGACUCCUACGGGAGGCAGCAGUCGGGAAUUUUGGGCAAUGGGCGAAAGCCUGACCCAGCAACGCCG